rnacentral:rRNA from 1 species
GACGAACGCUGGCGGUGUGCUUAACACAUGCAAGUCGAGCGACGCUCUUCCUUCGGGGAGAUGACGGAGCGGCGAACGGGUGAGUAACACGUGGGCAACCUGCCCCUAGCUCUGGGACAACACCGGGAAACCGGUGCUAAUACCGGAUACGACAUCGAGCGGCAUCUCUCGAUGUGGAAAGUUUUUUCGGCUAGGGAUGGGCCCGCGGCCUAUCAGCUUGUUGGUGGGGUAAUGGCCCACCAAGGCGACGACGGGUAGCCGGCCUGAGAGGGCGACCGGCCACACUGGGACUGAGACACGGCCCAGACUCCUACGGGAGGCAGCAGUGGGGAAUAUUGCGCAAUGGGCGAAAGCCUGACGCAGCGACGCCGCGUGAGGGAUGACGGCCUUCGGGUUGUAAACCUCUUUCAGCAGGGACGAAUUCAGACGGUACCUGCAGAAGAAGCACCGGCCAACUACGUG